rnacentral:rRNA from 1 species
UACAGAGGUGGCAAGCGUUGUUCGGAAUUACUGGGCGUAAAGGGCGCGUAGGCGGCCAUCUAAGUCAGACGUGAAAUCCCCCGGCUUAACCUGGGAACUGCGUCUGAUACUGGACGGCUGGAGUUUGGGAGAGGGAUGUAGAAUUCCAGGUGUAGCGGUGAAAUGCGUAGAUAUCUGGAGGAAUACCGGUGGCGAAGGCGGCAUCCUGGACCAAUACUGACGCUGAGGCGCGAAAGCUAGGGGAGCAAACAGG